AAGUCGUAACAAGGUUUCCGUAGGUGAACCUGCGGAAGGAUCAUUACAAAAAAGCUGGUAGGAAGUGGGGUCUUGAUCUGUAAGUGGUAGAGCGAACAGUCCGGCUGCCUCCCGAAAUGUCUUACAUUCCCCCACAGCCUGAAGGCCGAAUUACAACCCUGAUUAUCUGCACUUGUUGCUUUGGGGUGCUCAAGUGCCCCCAGGGGGACCCAACCUCUUUGCAUUUAGUGACGUCUGAGUACUAUAUAAUAUUUAAAA
rnacentral:misc_RNA from 1 species